UCGCUCAGAACUUCGGGAGGGUGAGAACCCUCGCCGGGUUCGUGCAGAGUAGCUGGCUGCGAUGAACGGCCGGGGGCCGCCCCGAAGGAGUGAGUCACGCAGUGGUGAAUCAUUCCUCCCUCACCGCCA
rnacentral:sRNA from 1 species